UCCGACAGCUGCUCAGGUUUGGGGUCCGUGGGUUUCAAAAAGCAAAUCAACUUUGGAAAAAACAUACUAUCGUUUUUUUCCCUCGAGUCGACAGACGGGAACAGCUGUGGCCUGACAGGCAGGCCGUCUCCAUGGGAGACAAGGACAGAAGAACAGAGAGUGAGCUGCCAACUAAUUUAGGACUGGAACCGGACUCACAUAACGCAAGACAACGCCCCUAAGCAUACAGCCAAGACAACGCAGGAGUGGCUUCGGG